ACUGAAUUUGCUCUCAAAAAAGAAUCCUGGGCAACAAUACAUCUGGCACUCUGCUCGAGGAAUUUGUCAUGUCAUUGACAUGUUCAGCCUCCAUUGUCCACACCACCCUGACAGCAGACCUCUGACUAUGUGAAGAUACGGUGGGAAGAUGACUGACCGCAAGACAGGAAGAGAGCCCUCACCGAGGAACCAAAUUGGCCAGUAUCUUGAUUUUGGAUUUCUCAACCUCAAGAACCAUGAGAAAUGAAUGUCUGCUGUUCAAGCCACCCAGUCAAUGUCCAUGAGAGCAAGCAUCUUUGUCCGUUUGGCUCACUGUUGGAUUCCCUGUUUUAAAAAUAUCACCCGGCCCAGCAAAAAGUUUGGAAACCUUCAUCUAGAAAGUGGUCUAGCAAAGUGUGGUCCAUGGAUGAGUUUGAUCUGCAAACUGCUUGUUAUUGGUUCAUGACAAGGUGUCAGAAGGAGGCUGGCAAAUUUGGCACUCACAGAGGGAAACCUAUGUGCUUCGUGAGGUCAUUGCUUAGAGUACAACUGCUACCAAGAACAUUCCCUGCAAACUCUUUUGUGAUCAGUUUCUUCCCUUCUCUCAUAUACCCUCUGCAGCUAUUUCCAUGCCUAACUCAAAGGAGACACAAGGAGAAAGUGAGCUCAGCCUGGAUAAAUUGGAGAUUGUGAUGACUUCUAGGAAGCCUCAGGAAAGAGAAACAAAGACAACACUGGCCUGCUGCUCUCUGCAAUGGUGGGACCCUUGUGGGAUAACUGUUUUAGGAAUGAAGGUGUCUACCCUCUCUAGAAAUGAAAAUGCAAGUUUGGCUGUGGUUAAGUAUUGGAUGGAGGCAAAAAGAAACUGACAUAUUUUCUUCUUUUCAAUUGUUUGAUUCACCCUGAAGGGCAUGGCUGCUUAAUUUUUUUCUCCAGAGAUAGGUGGACAGAUAAAGACAGGAAAGUAACAUCCACAGACUGCCCUCUGUGAAGGUGACAGUGAUGAAAGGAAUGCUUGAUCUGAACACUGGUAAAUAAAGUGACCGCAUAUUUCCCUAGCCAGGAGAGCAAUCUGGCUCAAAAGAAACGAGAACAAUGACAUUACUGCCAGGCUGCUCCUAAGCCUUUGGCUAUUCUGUUCAGUGCACAAAAAAAAGCAGUGAACAUAGCUGUGACCUGCCUUGUUGGUAGUAUCACAAUUCUUUGGGGCUCCACUUUAAGAAAUUGAGACCUACCUACCUUAAUCCUUGGGGGGUUAAGCUUUCAGACUGGAAUGAUAACUGAACUAUUCAUUUGCAGUAAUUCUGGGUUUUGUGCAUAUUUUAAAAAGGAAUACCGGGCUUGCCUAUAUUCAUUACAACGUCCUCCCAGCUUUCAAAUCUUCCAAUACAAUGCCUCUUCUCUAGUCUUUUAAGCACAUCCUGUGACUGGAUAUGAUUAUGGGAGAUUUACAUGCAUCCUUGUCUAUUGUAUCAAAAGAUCAGGGAAUAAAAUGCCCAUCAUUAAAACCCCAAAGUGAUUGGAUUGGCAUGAGGAAUGGGGAUGGGGCUGGCAUGGAAGAGAGGGUUCUGACUCUGAGAUUUCAUGAAAUGCAAAACAAUAGGACAGCUGCUCUUCCAUAAACAGAUUAUUAUUAUUAUUUCUACCUAGACAGCUUGAUAGCAGCCAUUAUCUUCUUUCUGGGUGUCUUAUCAAGUUCCGGCUGUGUGCAGCAUGGGUGAUAAGGAAAGAGAAAUGUCACCCAUGGGAUUGCCAAGGAUUAUUUCUAUGCACUGCUGUUCAGCAACAGCCAAUCUCUCAGAACUGAGAAGAAGUCCUAUUGUUCACGCUGGGCAGUUGCUAUUCUGACUAUCCCAAGAGAGCAGAAAAGGGAUGUAGUUGCCAUUGUGCAAAAGAUUGAUAUUUCAUUACUCUCAGCUAAAGUUCUGAAAAGCAGAAUCAUCAUGAAAUAUCUUUGAAGAGAGAAAAGACAAGGGAAGAAAAGAAGAACGAAAUGAGUUCAGAGCUUUUUAGAACUGUGAGGGAGUGCGAAAAAAGAAAGGUGUAAUACUUUCAAACAGUGGAAGUUAAAAUGCCAGGCGUGUAAGCCUCAGUGAAAUUGAGCAGCAUCACGUCACCACGACUUGUGGUCCAGCUGUUUAUUGCAAAGACUCCAUCCUGCGUUACUC
rnacentral:lncRNA from 1 species